CUUCUUGUAAAAUCCCAAAAAAUUUCAAUGUAUACAAUAAUAAAAUAAAAAGCUAUAUUACCAAGGUCUAUAAAUUAGGGCCUCCUAAAAGCAAUGACAUGUUCACAUACUACACUAUGAAGGGUUUCAUUUCUAUCUAUUUUGGCUUCAUAUUCACUAUUUUUCUCAUGGCACCCAAUGUCAGCGCGAGAUGGAAUAUAGAUCCUAAAAUCUUAGAAUUCGGAAGGAGAUUACUACCACAAGUUAUAAAUGAUCAGCCGUCACUCCAUCCUAAGGUUAUGAGUUUGAGUGCCAGUGAAACAAAAGGGCCGAGAAUUCCAGGGAGGGGUUAAAAAAGUCAUUUGGUUGAUCUUGAUCAAACAACAAUAUGUGCACUAGAUAACAAAUGAGUAUUUAUCUUGUAUGUGUUUUAUUUUAUUUGUCUUUAGUGUUUCGUUUAGUAAGAACUAAGAAUUGUAAUGAACAAAUUCAAAUGAAUAAAUCUUUUAGUGUGUUUCUAUUAUUGAAUGAAAAGGAAUAACAAGUAUUGACUAAACAUGCUUUAAUUUCAAAUAAGUUGGGCUCGAUCAUAUGAAUCAUCGUUGUUCAUGUCAUUUCAGUUAAGCAAAAUAUGUUGACUAUCUUUAAGGUACAUUUUCUUGAUCUAAUGCAUCUUCAUGGUAAUAAAAGGCCAACUUGUCAUCCGGUUAACUGGGACGGAGCCACCUUUCAUCUAGAAGAUUCAUUCAAGUCUCAUUCGAUGAAAAAUUAUGAUUUUUACGUGCUUAAAAAUAUUAUUUAUGCAUCAUAGUAGAUGUUGAAACCCUUUUUGUUAGUUCGUAUGUUUACUUCUGAACCCCUUCAAUGAAAAUCCUGACUCCACCACUGCUGGUCGAUGCUAUCUUGAGGUGAUCUUCGGCACCAACUUCUUGCAACAUUUUUACUUCUUCUCUCAUCGAUGUAAUCAAACAAAGGACGCAUCUUCAAACUUUAUCCAAGAGUGAUGUGUACGCAACCUAGCCCCUACCUUGUGAAGAUAGUGAAUACGAUGUCUUGAGGUAAUUUUUUGCACCAACUUCUUGCAACAUUUUUACGACUUUUUGAGCUGAAGGUUUUUCAGAAACAGUCUUUUUACCUUCACAAGAUAGAAAUUGUAUGUUUAAGCAAUUGUAUAUUUAAGCAAUAUCUUAACCUAACUUAGAUAUGUUGGAAAAAACAACUUGCAAAUGUGAAUUUGAAGAAUCAACUCAUGGAUCUGGCUGUUCUAAUCAAUUCCUAAAUGUAAAACUAAAAUUUGAAGCAAUUUGAUGAGAAACUUAGCUCAUGAUUAGAGAUUUUGAAGUUAAAAUUUGGAAAGUUGAGUUUUUUUAUGAUUUUCAAAAUUUAAAGUUGUGUUUGAAUAUGCAUUUUAUUUGGAUAUACUAGUGUUGGAUUCGGUAAAUAUACUAGCUAUGUUUGCUUAGUUAUGUAGUUUUUCCUUAUUAAUUGUCCAUUUAUUCAUUUCCUUAACGACGUGGUCGGUGCGUAUCUAGGUGGGGUCACCAGGUUCAUGUGAACCCAUGCUCUCCUCCCUAGAUCAUAUAUAGCAUUAUUACAUCUUUCUAAAAAUAUUUAAAUAUAAAUCUAUAAACUCACGCUCGAAGUAUUUUCAUAAUAAUAGACCCAUCUUCUCGAAAUCCUGAAUACACCUCUGCGUGCCUCUAUCCUCAAGUCAAUCAAGAACGCAUAGGCAUCCUCACCCACAGAUGCACUAAACUUGGAUGGACCCAAGCGAGUAAAUCCUUCAAGCCUCUUCUGAUCCUCAUAAGACAUAACUGUAUCCGAAGCAACAGGAGAAAUAGUAAAUCUGGCAGAUUGUGAUCCUACUUGAGUCCUGAGAGGGCAACAUAGAUGAAGGUUGAACUCCUGAAUUCAAAAAAUCAUACUCGGAUAUUGGCGCAGAAGAAGAAACAAUAGUCCGAAUCGCCUCAGAACAUAAAUAUAUGAACCCACACUUGAAAUAUUUUCAUUAUAUUACACUCAUCAUUUCGAAAUCCUGGAUACGCGUCCGUGUGCCCUAUCCCAUACGUAACGUGCUAAUUUUUUAUUUGGGUCCUUCCCCAACCACUUCUCAUUCAUAACAUCAAAGUCAACAUUUUUUAAAUGGGCACCAAGAAUUAGCACCAUUUUACAUUACUUUUUACUUCUUGAUCGAAAUAUAUUAUAACUAUAUGAAUUAUUUUUGGAUUUUUUUAAUACAUAAAGUGUCUUUUAAAUUAUGGAUUUGACUUUGAAAAAUGGUAGGCCAGCUAAAGUCUAAAACUUUGAAUAGCAUCUUUGGGUUGCAUAGUCAAUUUACAUGACAAUUGAACCAAUUGAGAAGUGGAUUACAAUAUAUACUACAUGACAAUUUAGCAAUACUGUCACCUACUAAUAAAACUAAUGAAACAACAACAACAAACCCAGUGUAUUCCCACAUAGUGAGGUCUGGAGAGGGUAAGAUAUACGCAGUCCAUACCUCUAAAAUUAAUGCAAUUUUCAUUAAAUUAUUGCAAGUAAAACAUACAAUUCGGCUCUUCAUUCUUCUCUCUUGAUUAUCUUUGUAAUUUCAGGAUCGUUAAUAACAUAUUUGUCGAAUAUAGAAAGAUUUAUAUUGGAGCGUGAGGAAUAUCAGACAGACUUUACGAAAAACGACUUUUAACGUCUUGAUCUCUUUAUACCCUUUAUGUAGUCGUAAGUUGGAUUUGGAAUAGAGUAGACUUCAAGAACUUAAUAGGAUUGGACUGGUCUUGUAAACUUCCUGGAAAAGUCAAUGUCUACAACAACAACGAUGACGACGACGACGGCGACGACGACGACGACAACAAUAAUAAUAAUAAUAACAAAAACUAUAAUACAAAGGUCUAUAAAUUAGGGCCUCCUUAAAGCAAUGACAUAUUGACAUUACACUAUGAAGGGUUUCAUUUCUAGCAUGGUGUUGUUAAAGAUUGGCUUCAUAUUCACUGUUCUUCUCAUGGCACCCAAUGUCAGCGCGAGAUGUAAUAUAAAUCCUGAAAUUUCACGAUUCGAAAGGAGAUUAUUACCACAACUUGAAAAUGAACCGAAUAUCAGUCCUAAGAUUAUGAGUUCGAAUGUCAACGAAGCAAGACAACCCAAAAUUCCAGGGAGGGGUUAAAAAAAGUCAUUUGGUUGAUCUUGAUCAAAUGACAAUAUAUGCACUAGACAACAAAUGAGUAUUUCUCUUGUAUGUGUUUUAUUUUUUUUUGUUUUGUCUUUUGUGCUUUGUUUUUGUAAGAACAAUAAUGAAGAAAUUCAAAUGAAUGGCAUUCUAUCCAAAAGUUGGUUCAGAUAGAAUUUAUAUUGUGUUUCUUUUUUCGAAAGAAAAGGAAUAACAAGUGUGACUAAAUA